UACGAAGGGGGCUAGCGUUGCUCGGAAUUACUGGGCGUAAAGGGCGCGUAGGCGGAUGUCUAAGUUGGGGGUGAAAUCCCGGGGCUCAACCUCGGAACCGCCUUCAAUAUUGGAUAUCUUGAGUUCGGGAGAGGUGAGUGGAAUGCCAGUGUAGAGGUGAAAUUCGUAGAUAUUCGGAGGAACACCAGUGGCGGAAGGCGGCUCACUGGCUCGAUACUGACGCUGAGGUGCGAAAGCGUGGGGAGCAAACAGG
rnacentral:rRNA from 1 species